rnacentral:misc_RNA from 1 species
GAUGAAGAACGUAGCGAAAUGCGAUACUUGGUGUGAAUUGCAGAAUCCCGUGAACCAUCGAGUCUUUGAACGCAAGUUGCGCCCGAAGCCUCGGCUAAGGGCACGUCUGCCUGGGCGUCACGCAUCGCGUCUCCCCCAAACCGCCAAGGCGGAGGGGAAGGAAGAUGGCUUCCCGUGCCUCACCCGGGCGCGGUUGGCCUAAAUUUGGAGCCCGCGGCACUUAGCUCUCGCGGCGAUAGGUGGUGAACAAGGCCUUGGCCGUGCAAACAACCCGCUGCGAAGCUCUAUGUCACGUGCGCUCGUCGGACCCUUUGAAGUUGCCUUUGGUGACUUAAAACCUUUGCGCCCCCAGGUCAGGCGGGGCUACCCGCUGAAUUUAAGCAUAUCAAUAAGCGGAGGA